rnacentral:rRNA from 1 species
UACAGAGGUCCCGAGCGUUGUUCGGAUUCACUGGGCGUAAAGGGUGCGUAGGUGGUGAGGUAAGUCGGAUGUGAAAUCUCCGAGCUCAACUCGGAAAUGGCAUUGGAAACUACCUUGCUUGAGGGUUGGAGGGGGGACUGGAAUACUUGGUGUAGCAGUGAAAUGCGUAGAUAUCAGGUGGAACACCAGUGGCGAAGGCGAGUCCCUGGACAACUCCUGACACUGAGGCACGAAAGCUAGGGGAGCAAACAGG